AUCCCAUAAUUAGAUACAGAUGUGAAUGCUCUGUGGCCACAAAUUGCAAACCUUUGUAUCUGCUAAAUGCUCAUUUGUUUGCCAUCAUUUUUGAGCCUUCAAGAGAGUACAUGGUGCUAACUGCAGCUUGUUAGCAGCUGGUUCACAAGGAAUAUGGUGUGAACAGACUUGGCAAAGUUGUGUUUUGCAAUAACAAUGGGCUGCACACUCAGUUUUCUUCGAGCUGAAGAUUCAAUAUUGUAACUCUAGGAAAGCAAAGUAACCUCAGUUACCAUCAGCUUACAAAGAAGACAAAUUUCAUUAAUGCAUUUGUGAAGAAAAUGUGUAAUUUUCAGUAAUCUACCAAGUCUGUUUUUCUACAAACCUGAGGGCCAGAAGUGGAUGGAUGGAGAUGGGCAGCUCUCAGGAAUGGAAGGAUAUUUUUCAGGAGGGAAGAUAUUUUCAGGGAAAGGAAGCAAUUCACCAGUCUUAUAACAAAGCUCUUACAGGAUGUCCCAAACUUUCUGUUUGGUCUGCCAAGGGCUUUCACAUUCAGAAAGAAACCAUUCUCUUCAACUUUAAAGAUAUAGCCAGAAAUUUAUGAGAAGUCAUCCUCUUGGUAAUGUUUCUAGUUUGGUAUUUGAUGGCAGUUGGUGCAAUUGCAAUUCACCCUUCUUCUAUUUUUCAUGUCCUAACUCAUUGUACGCAGGAUGAGCUGGUUUUAUCCUGAGAGUAGUCCUAUCAACAGAGCUGUUUGUGCUGCUGGGUUUGUAAAUGAAAAAGAAAGGUAAUUCCUUGUAAAAAUCUGAAAGCAGACUGAAGGACUAAAAGUGGCUGUAGGUAAAAUGCUAUGUGAAGUGCUUUUGUUUUAAGUGAAGAAAGGAUUACAAAAUGAAGGCUGCAGAAAUGCUAUCCCAAUAAAUUUACUUUGGUCACCUCUUUGCCA
rnacentral:lncRNA from 1 species